rnacentral:rRNA from 1 species
GAUGAACGCUGGCGGCGUGCCUAAUACAUGCAAGUAGAACGCUGAAGGCGGAGCUUGCUCUUCUGGAUGAGUUGCGAACGGGUGAGUAACGCGUAGGUAACCUGCCUGGUAGUGGGGGAUAACUAUUGGAAACGAUAGCUAAUACCGCAUGACAACAGCUACUGCAUGAUAACUGUUUAAAAGGGGCAACUGUUCCACUACCAGUUGGACCUGCGCUGUAUUAGCUAGUUGGUGAGGUAACGGCUCACCAAGGCGACGAUACAUAGCCGACCUGCGAGGGUGAGCAGCCAGACUGGGACGGAGACACGGCCCAGACUCCUACGGAGAGCAGCAGUAGGGAAUCGGCAGCAAUGGGCGGAAGUCUGACCGAGCAACGCCGCGUGAGUGAGGAAGGUUGUCGGGUCGGAGAGCUCGGUUGUAAGGGAAGAACGAGUGUGAGAGUGGAAAGUUCACACUGUGACGGUAUCUGACCAGAAAGCGACGGCUAACUACGUG